rnacentral:rRNA from 1 species
CACGUAGGGCGCGAGCGUUGUCCGGAAUUAUUGGGCGUAAAGAGCUCGUAGGCGGUUUGUCGCGUCUGCCGUGAAAGUCCGGGGCUCAACUCCGGAUCUGCGGUGGGUACGGGCAGACUAGAGUGAUGUAGGGGAGACUGGAAUUCCUGGUGUAGCGGUGAAAUGCGCAGAUAUCAGGAGGAACACCGAUGGCGAAGGCAGGUCUCUGGGCAUUAACUGACGCUGAGGGGCGAAAGCAUGGGGAGCGAACAGG